rfam:Homo sapiens chromosome 10, GRCh38 reference primary assembly.
GCUGGGUGUGGUGGUGCGUACCUGUAAUCCCAGCUACUUAGGAGGCUGAGGCAGGAGAAUUGCUUGAACCCAGGAGGCGGAGGUUGCAAUGAGCAAGAUCAUGCCACUGCACUUCAGCCUGGGCAACAGAGUGAGACUCUGUCUCAA